UCACAGAUAAGUUGGUUGCACUGUACGA
rnacentral:sRNA from 1 species